UACGGAGGGUGCAAGCGUUAUCCGGAUUCACUGGGUUUAAAGGGUGCGUAGGUGGGUUGGUAAGUCAGUGGUGAAAUCUCCGUGCUUAACAUGGAAACUGCCAUUGAUACUACUGAUCUUGAAUUUUCAGGAGGUAAGCGGAAUAUGUCAUGUAGCGGUGAAAUGCUUAGAUAUGACAUAGAACACCAAUUGCGAAGGCAGCUUACUACAGGAACAUUGACACUGAUGCACGAAAGCGUGGGGAGCAAACAGG
rnacentral:rRNA from 1 species